UGGGGAAUCUUGCACAAUGGGGGAAACCCUGAUCCAGCAAUACCGCGUGUGUGAAGAAGGCCCGAGGGUUGUAAAGCACUUUCAAUUGUGAAGAAAAGUUAACGGUUAAUAACCGUUAACCUUGACGUUAACUUUAGAAGAAGCACCGGCUGACUCCGUGCCAGCAGCCGCGGUAAUACGGAGGGUGCAAGCGUUAAUCGGAAUUACUGGGCGUAAAGCGUGCGUAGGCGGUUUAUCAAGUCAGAUGUGAAAUCCCCGGGCUUAACCUGGGAACUGCAUUUGAAACUGGUCAACUAGAGUAUGGUAGAGGAAAGUGGAAUUUCUGGUGUAGCGGUGAAAUGCGUAGAUAUCAGAAGGAACAUCAAUGGCGAAGGCAGCUUUCUGGCCCAAUACUGACGCUGAGGUACGAAAGCGUGGGUAGCAAACAGG
rnacentral:rRNA from 1 species